rnacentral:rRNA from 1 species
UACGUAGGGGGCUAGCGUUGUCCGGAAUCAUUGGGGCGUAAAGCGCGUGUAGGCGGUCCGGUAAGUCCGCUGUGAAGGUUCGGGGGGCUCAACCCUCGGAUUGCCGGUGGAUACUGUCGGGCUUGAGUACGGAAGAGGCGAGUGGAAUUCCUGGUGUAGCGGUGAAAUGCGCAGAUAUCAGGAGGAACACCAAUUGCGAAGGCAGCUCGCUGGGACGUAGCUGACGCUCAUUGCACGAAAGCGUGGGGAGCAAACAGG